rnacentral:rRNA from 1 species
AACGAACGCUGGCGGCAGGCUUAACACAUGCAAGUCGAACGCCCCGCCAGGGGAGUGGCAGACGGGUGAGUAACGCGUGGGAAUCUACCUAGUUCUACGGAACAACAGUUGGAAACGACUGCUAAUACCGUAUACGCCCUAUGGGGGAAAGAUUUAUCGGAAUUAGAUGAGCCCGCGUAAUAUUAGCUAGUUGGUGGGGUAAUGGCCUACCAAGGCGACGAUCCUUAGCUGGACUGAGAGGAUGUUCAGCCACACUGGGACUGAGACACGGCCGCGGAUGCGACAGGAGCAAGCCGUGGGGAAUAUUGGACAAUGGGCGCAAGCCUGUUCCAGCGAUGCCGCGUGAGUGAUGAAGGCCUUAGGGUUGUAAAGCUCUUUCACCGAUGAAGUUGAUGACGUUAGUCAGAGAAGAAGCGCCGGCUAACUUCGUGCCAGCAGCCGCGGUAACAC